UGAACUUUCAGAAUUAUAACUGGCGAAGAAAACUACGCCUUAGCUGCUUAAGUUAGACUUAACAUAGCUAUUUGUCCCGUUAGAUCCUGUUCUUUGGUUUAACAUUCGGGGCAUCGAACGAUAGAACUGGCAAGUGUGAUGUUGCUAAGCACUUGCGAGAAACAGCAACUACGGCGUACGGUAUAGGUAAGCGACUCACCUUCCCUCGCCCGACAAUCAAAGAGAAGCUAAACAUGUAGAAAGCGUAUACAGUACCAUGACUGGACGAGAGUUCGAAUCUCUCCAGCUCCACUA
rnacentral:tmRNA from 1 species